GAAUUCAGAGGUACGAAUAAUUUCAUCAUGCACUAUAUUGCUUAUAGCUUAUGGGGAUUGAACAUGCAGACAUGAUGGAGCAAGUUUGACAAUUCAAUUGAGCGGCGCCACACUGCCACAUUGGUUAUACAAACUGUUCGCAGAAAUGAAUUCCAAAUUCACACAUUACCACAUCCAGGGACAUCUAAUAAAAUUAAAAUUAUUCAGUGCAAAGAGUAUCAGAAUAUAGUUUCUAAAUGUCUCCAUUAGAUUUCGGUCAGCUCUCUCUGAAUAGAUGAUAAUUUUCAAAAACCACUCUUACAUUUUGAAUGACAAUAUUAAAUUACAAAGUGUUUGGUUGGAGCUACUUUGCUUUGCCCUCACCAUUACAAUAAUUCAUACAAGAGGAUCUCUUUUGUGUUAUUUAUCUAUGUGAAUACUGAUUCUUUGUUUUAGUUAUCUCCUCAUGAAUAAUAUUCUUCGGCCUCAGAUUUUGUAGUUUUCUGAAGGUUUUCAGACAAGUGGGCAUAUUUCCUAGCUCAUUACCAAGUUUAGAUCAAGUUUAGUUUCUGAUGCCAAAGACAGUAGACAUACUUACAAAUCUAUCAUGUUUUCUUAGUGCUUUGUUUUUCUGUGAUGUUGAGUUCGCAUCCAUGCUCCGAGGGGUUUGAUCUUUGUUGUGUUUCCACAGAUCAUGCAGGUUCGAGUGCCAUUUGUGUCCCUCUUAGAAAGAUCGAGGAGAUGAUAGUGGGUAUUCAAUCAGAUUAGUUGGCAUGCCAUGCACUAGACUGAAUGAACUAUUGAGAUCAGGUCAAUGGGCUUCGGACAUUACUUGACUACUAGAAGAUUUAGGAUGGUUGAUUGUUUUCUGCAAGGCUCAUUCGGACAUUACUAUUAUGUCUGAGAAAUCAAUUCUCAGUCAUUACGUGUGGCAAUGAUGGUGAAAGUAUGUUAUGUAGCUCCUCCAUUGGCUGCAAAUGCUGGAGGUUUUUCAAACUGAGCAGGUAUAUGAUCAUAAUUAAGUCAGAGCGGUGAUCUUUUUUAAAUGUAACAUGGUGCCAUGUACUAGAUACUGUAGUUGAUACUUGGGAUAUCCGAGACAUAUCUGUGAGAAUUUUAAGGUGUUGCCAAUAAUGUCAUUGUUCAAUGCCUAUUUAUGGCUUUUGUGAUUCAAUUUCACAUAUAGAAAUAUAUUUAUAUUUUUUCUAUAGUGUCGUCAGAAUUGAUUGCACCGCUCUGUCAAUACCUCUUAAUACAACUUUUAUAAUUAAAGCAUUUUCUAUUUUUUUUUACAUGAAAAUGUUGUUAAUAAUUUUAGAUUAAGAAAAUAGAUUGUAUUUAUGGUCUACAUUGGUGUCCAGGUACCAGGUUACAUAUAUUCUAUUUCAUUCAAAAACUUUCACAAUAUGAUUUCAUUUCAUUCACAAAUUCAAGAGUCUUAGGCCUUACAUACAACCCUCUAUAAGCGCUUAGAAACUAACGGAUUUAAUUCUCAAGUGUCUUAGUCCUUAGAACCUGGUCACUUACAUAUGCUUUAUUGGGCACAUAUAUGCUACUGAUGUUUGCAUCCACAGUUUUCGAAAAUUGCUCCCUAACUGAAUAAGUAGCCAUUUCUGUACAUAAACUACAACUUCAAGAUAUCUUGGUCUUUUAGAUUGAUAUACAUGAAUGCACUAGCUAGAUAGUGCUACGGAAUUAUAUAUGAGCUAUGAAAGAAAUAAGUUUAUUAUCCGAUAGAUUAAUUCUUAUAGGUGCAUAUGAAUUUAGCCAGCAUAGCACAAUUCUCCCACUCUUCCUUACCACAAGCCUCUCUUUCGAGAUACAGGAUUAAAAUGACUUGGAAUUCUUGACUGUCUAUUUGAUUCUAGCGGAAUCAUGAAUGUCUGCUAUCGUUGUUGGAUUGUUAUGUUAUGUUCUCUAAAUAAGGCAUGUUAAGGAAUAUUUGCAUCAUUUAAACAGGAUCAUUUUUGUCUUGCUCUUACUUACAAUAAGCUAUGCGCAGAAAUUUUGAUUUUUUCAGUCAUUUAAAUUUAGGGCCGAGUUAUCGAUCUAGCAGCCUGAUUGUGCCAGUGAAAACGCUGCAAAACACUGGGUUAUUGGCUUCUAGAAAAUAGUUUGUAGUCAAUAUGCAAGCACAUGUAGCAGUAAGAAAUCUCUUUUCAUCAGUACAAGCUCACAUAAAACUUAGCUUCCAUGACAACCUCUUGAACUAAUUUGCAUUACGGCUGGGUUUGAUUCUUCCUCACAUAGUCUUGGUCAUGCAGCGUUGGCUGGCAUCAUUCAGAGGCUACCUGACGGAUCCCACAAUUUAAUAUCUCUUAAGGAUUGCUUCGAGGGUUUUACAAUUUUUCUUACAUAUAUCAUACUGGUAAAAUAAAUGGGUUGACCAAAACAUCAGAAGACUCAAAUCUUCCUACCUUAGAAUGCACUUCCUGAAGGUUUUAUGAAGGUCAACACCAAUGCCUUUUCCGUUGAUGAAUCUGGGGUUGCUAGCGAUGGAGUGGUCGGCUGGGAUUACCUCAGAAGUGUCAUUUCUCUGCAGCCUAUCCGAUGAGAGGUUGAACCAACGCUGAAGAAACUGAAGUUGAGGUAAUACAUGGCGUGCGUCUUAGGGUAAAACUUUGGAUGUAGGAGCAUUGUGACAGAGUCUGACAACCAGACAGUAAUUAAGGUGAUCAAUUCGAAAUUGUGUAACCUCACUGCCUCAUGCAUCAUUAUUACCCAAACUCAGGUGUAGGGAUUUUGUUUGCAGUAGCUUUGUGAAAGUAGGUAGAGGGCUGCAAUAGUCUGUACCCCGUGAGUUGUCCGCCUUGGCGAGAUAUCCGUUUGUCUGGAUCAUGACUAGGUAGAGUGCCGAGAAGCGUGCGAUCAAAAAUUUGUAAUUGAUUGUGAUACUCUGAAUGACAGUAAUAUAUAAGCACC